rnacentral:rRNA from 1 species
AGCUUUGCUGCGGGUACUCGAGUGGCGAACGGGUGAGUAACACGUGGGUGAUCUGCCUUGCACUUCGGGAUAAGCUUGGGAAACUGGGUCUAAUACCGGAUAGGACAGCUGUUUAGUGUCAGUUGUGGAAAGUUUUUUCGGUGCAAGAUGAGCUUGCGGCCUAUCAGCUUGUUGGUGGGGUAAUGGCCUACCAAGGCGUCGACGGGUAGCCGGCCUGAGAGGGUGUACGGCCACAUUGGGACUGAGAUACGGCCCAGACUCCUACGGGAGGCAGCAGUGGGGAAUAUUGCACAAUGGGCGGAAGCCUGAUGCAGCGACGCCGCGUGGGGGAUGAAGGCCUUCGGGUUGUAAACUCCUUUCGACAGGGACGAAGCGUAAGUGACGGUACCUGUAUAAGAAGCACCGGCUAACUACGUGCCAGCAGCCGCGGUAAUACGUAGGGUGCGAGCGUUGUCCGGAAUUACUGGGCGUAAAGAGCUCGUAGGUGGUUUGUCGCGUCGUCUGUGAAAUUCCGGGGCUUAACUCCGGGCGUGCAGGCGAUACGGGCUGACUUGAGUGCUGUAGGGGAGACUGGAAUUCCUGGUGUAGCGGUGAAAUGCGCAGAUAUCAGGAGGAACACCGAUGGCGAAGGCAGGUCUCUGGGCAGUAACUGACGCUGAGGAGCGAAAGCAUGGGUAGCGAACAGGAUUAGAUACCCUGGUAGUCCAUGCCGUAAACGAUGGGUACUAGGUGUCGGAGGUUUCAAGACCGUCGGUGCCGCAGUUAACACAAUAAGUACCCCGCCUGGGGAGUACGUCGCAAGACUG